rnacentral:ncRNA from 2 species
GUAACCCGCCGGGGGAGCUGCUGAUACCGCAGCUGAGAUUAAGGUGGAAGCCUUAGACCCCAGCACCUGAUCCGGGUAAUACCGGCGUAGGGAGUGCGGUAAAAAGGAUAA